UUUAUUUGAUUUUUUUUUUCAAUUGCGUUAUAAGUGAUGAGGAGAUUUUACAAAGGCUUGUUUUGCAAGGUUGAAGAUUAAACCAAAUUCAUUUGCGAGUCUGUUUAAUAAAAUAAGUCAUUCAGAAACAAGUUUGGAGAUGUUUCUUAAAUCUCAAUGUUCAUUAAAAGGUAUUCUAGAUUCUAUGGCAUUGGAUGAACCUGAAAUCUUAGAAAUAGAUAAUAGGUCAUUUACCGACAAAGUGAUGAUUAAUAUCCUUAUACCCAUUCAUGAUGGGGAUUUUUGUUGUAUUGUAAGACCAUCUUGUCAAGUAGGUGAUUUGGUUCCGUGUUCCGAGGUACAUCAAAUUGGCUUUACCUGUGAGCAGUCACUCGCUUACAUUGUAACUCCUGACUAUAUAAUUUAAGAUUUUAGUAUUUUAGAGGAUGCAAAUGUUCAGACCCCUGUCUUGAAGGAGUGCCCUGAGAUCCUGAAGAAGCAAAAAUUAUUGUUUGAUCAAAUGGUGGUUUUACCCUAUAGAUUGACAUAGGUAAAUAAAUUAACAAUAAAGUGUAUGGUGUGCUCGGUCCAAAUGGACAUUUUGGGAUUUUGUAGUACAUUAAGAAAUAAUAGUAUUUUAUUAGUGAGUGGAAGUGUGUAAGAGAUUUUGACAUUUUUGUCAUUUUACUUUAUGUAAAAAAUAA